AAGUCGUAACAAGGUUUCCGUAGGUGAACCUGCGGAAGGAUCAUUAACGUAUCUCUGGCGUGCCGCGUCGCGCCCUGCUCCGGCUCCGAAAGGGCCGUGCAGCGGGCACCCGCGCCGUCAAACCUUCACAAACCCACCGUGCACGUUUGCGGCGGAGGGCUCCCGCGAGGGGGUUCGAAGCCGCUUCACAAACGCUGUUAACGAAUGUCAAAGCGUCCUCUGCGUCGCCUAACAAUUGAACAACUUUCAACAACGGAUCUCUUGGCUCUCGCAUCGAUGAAGAACGCAGCGAAAUGCGAUAAGUAAUGUGAAUUGCAGAAUUCAGUGAAUCAUCGAAUCUUUGAACGCACCUUGCGCUCCUUGGUAUUCCGAGGAGCAUGCCUGUUUGAGUGUCUUGAAGUCAUCAACCCCUCCCGUUUUUGCGGGYGYCGGUUGGAUCUGGGGCGUGCUGCCGCGAGGCUGCUCCCCUCAAAUGYGUCGGUUGGGCCUGUGGGUCGGACUCGAUUGGGCGUUGUACCAUCCUCGCUCUCACGAGAAGUUCCCCUUCYGUGCCUUUCCAAGACUUGCCUGUGGAGUGGCGGUCAACCAACUUUGAAAUCUGACCUCAAAUCAGGUAGGACUACCCGCUGAACUUAAGCAUAUCAAUAAGCGGAGGAAAAGAAACUAACAAGGAUUCCCCUAGUAACUGCGAGUGAAGCGGGAAAAGCUCAAAUUUGAAAUCUGACGGUUACGCCGUCCGAGUUGUAUUCUGGAGAAGCGUUUUCCGCG
rnacentral:rRNA from 1 species